GAUGAACGCUGGCGGCGUGCCUAAUACAUGCAAGUCGAGCGAACAGACGAGGAGCUUGCUCCUCUGACGUUAGCGGCGGACGUGUGAGUAACACGUGGAUAACCUACCUAUAAGACUGGGAUAACUUCGGGAAACCGGAGCUAAUACCGGAUAAUAUAUUGAACCGCAUGGUUCAAUAGUGAAAGACGGUUUUGCUGUCACUUAUAGAUGGAUCCGCGCCGCAUUAGCUAGUUGGUAAGGUAACGGCUUAUCAAGGCGACGAUGCGUAGCCGACCUGAGGGGGGGGUCGGCCGCACUGGAACUGAGACACGGUCCAGACUCCUACGAGAGGGAGCAGUAGGGAAUCUUCCGCAAUGGGCGAGAGCUUGGCGGAACAACGGCGAGUGAGUGAUGAAGGUCUUCGGAUCGUAAAAAUCUGUUAUUAGGGAAGAACAAAUGUGUAAGUAACUAUGCACGUCUUGACGGUAACUAAUCAGAAAGCCACGGCUAACUACGUG
rnacentral:rRNA from 1 species